rnacentral:rRNA from 1 species
CUACGUGCCAGCAGCCGCGGUAAUACGUAUGUCACGAGCGUUAUCCGGAUUUAUUGGGCGUAAAGCGCGUCUAGGUGGUUAUAUAAGUCUGAUGUGAAAAUGCAGGGCUCAACUCUGUAUUGCGUUGGAAACUGUAUAACUAGAGUACUGGAGAGGUAAGCGGAACUACAAGUGUAGAGGUGAAAUUCGUAGAUAUUUGUAGGAAUGCCGAUGGGGAAGCCAGCUUACUGGACAGAUACUGACGCUGAAGCGCGAAAGCGUGGGUAGCAAACAGGAUUAGAUACCCUGGUAGUCCACGCUGUAAACGAUGAUUACUAGGUGUUGGGGGUCGAACCUCAGCGCCCAAGCAAACGCGAUAAGUAAUCCGCCUGGGGAGUACGUACGCAAGUAUGAAACUCAAAGGAAUUGACGGGGACCCGCACAAGCGGUGGAGCAUGUGGUUUAAUUCGACGCAACGCGAGGAACCUUACCAGCGUUUGACAUC